rnacentral:misc_RNA from 1 species
GAUGAAGAACGUAUCGAAAUGCGAUACGUAAUGUGAAUUGCAGAAUUCAGUGAAUCAUCGAAUCUUUGAACGCAUAUUGCGCUCUCUGGUAUUCCGGAGAGCAUGCUUGUUUGAGUAUCAGUAAACACCUCAACUCCCCUUUCUUUUUUGAAAUGGGAGCUGGACUUGAGUGAUCCCAACGCUUUUCUCACCGAAAAGUGGCGGGUUACUUGAAAUGCAGGUGCAGCUGGACUUUUCUCUGAGCUAAAAGCAUAUCUAUUUAGUCUGCCUAAAAAACAGAUUAUUACCUUUGCUGCAGCUAACAUAAAGGAGAUUAGUUCUUGUGCUGACUGAUGCAGGAUUCACAGAGACAGCUUCGGCUGGCCUUUGUAAACUCGAUCUCAAAUCAAGUAAGACUACCCGCUGAACUUAAGCAUAUCAAUAAGCGGAGGA